rnacentral:rRNA from 1 species
GAACGCUGGCGGCAGGCCUAACACAUGCAAGUCGAACGAAGGCCCGGAGCUUGCUCUGGUUACCUUAGUGGCGGACGGGUGAGUAACACGUGGGAAUUUGCCCAAGAGUGGGGAAUAACAGUUGGAAACGACUGCUAAUACCGCAUACUCCCUUCGGGGGAAAGGCUUCGGCCGCUCUUGGAUAAGCCCGCGCCAGAUUAGCUUGUUGGUGAGGUAAAGGCUCACCAAGGCGACGAUCUUUAGCGGGUCUGAGAGGACGAUCCGCCACAUUGGGACUGAGACACGGCCCAGACUCCUACGGGAGGCAGCAGUGGGGAAUAUUGGACAAUGGGCGCAAGCCUGAUCCAGCCAUACCGCGUGUGUGAAGAAGGCCCUAGGGUUGUAAAGCACUUUAAGUUGGGAAGAAAAGUUAUUGGCUAAUAUCCAAUAACCGUGACAUUACCAUCAGAAUAAGGACCGGCUAAUUCCGUGCCAGCAGCCGCGGUAAUACGGAAGGUCCAAGCGUUAAUCGGAAUUACUGGGCGUAAAGCGCGCGUAGGUGGUUUAUUAAGUUGGAUGUGAAAUCCCCGGGCUCAACCUGGGAACUGCAUCCAAAACUGAUUCACUAGAGUACGAUAGAGGGAGGUAGAAUUCACAGUGUAGCGGUGGAAUGCGUAGAUAUUGUGAAGAAUACCAAUGGCGAAGGCAGCCUCCUGGAUCUGUACUGACACUGAGGUGCGAAAGCGUGGGUAGCGAACAGGAUUAGAUACCCUGGUAGUCCACGCCGUAAACGAUGUCAACUAGCUGUUGGAAAACUAUGUUUUUCAGUGGCGCAGCUAACGUAGUAAGUUGACCGCCUGGGGAGUACGGCCGCAAGGCUAAAACUCAAAUGAAUUGACGGGGACCCGCACAAGCGGUGGAGCAUGUGGUUUAAUUCGAUGCAACGCGAAAAACCUUACCUAUACUUGACAUACUUGGAAUGCUUUGUAAUGAAGCAGUGCCUUCGGGAGCUAAGAUACAGGUGCUGCAUGGCUGUCGUCAGCUCGUGUCGUGAGAUGUUCCGUUAAGUCGGAUAACGAGCGCAACCCUUACCCUUAUUUGCCAGCGAUUCGGUCGGGAACUAUAAGGGGACUGCCGGUGAUAAACCGGAGGAAGGUGAGGACGACGUCAAGUCAUCAUGGCCCUUACGUAUAGGGCUACACACGUGCUACAAUGGAGAAUACAGACGGACGCUAAGCCGCGAGGUGGUGCCAAUCCUAGAAAAUUCUUCGUAGUCCGGAUUGGAGUCUGCAACUCGACUCCAUGAAGUCGGAAUCGCUAGUAAUCGCGAAUCAGCAUGUCGCGGUGAAUACGUUCUCGGGUCUUGUACACACCGCCCGUCA